rnacentral:rRNA from 1 species
AGUCGAGCGGACAGAUGGGAGCUUGCUCCCUGAUGUUAGCGGCGGACGGCUGAGUAACACGUGGGUAACCUGCCUGUAAGACUGGGAUAACUCCGGGAAACCGGGGCUAAUACCGGAUGCUUGUUUGAACCGCAUGGUUCAAACAUAAAAGGUGGCUUCGGCUACCACUUACAGAUGGACCCGCGGCGCAUUAGCUAGUUGGUGAGGUAACGGCUCACCAAGGCAACGAUGCGUAGCCGACCUGAGAGGGUGAUCGGCCACACUGGGACUGAGACACGGCCCAGACUCCUACGGGAGGCAGCAGUAGGGAAUCUUCCGCAAUGGACGAAAGUCUGACGGAGCAACGCCGCGUGAGUGAUGAAGGUUUUCGGAUCGUAAAGCUCUGUUGUUAGGGAAGAACAAGUACCGUUCGAAUAGGGCGGUACCUUGACGGUACCUAACCAGAAAGCCACGGCUAACUACGUGCCAGCAGCCGCGGUAAUACGUAGGUGGCAAGCGUUGUCCGGAAUUAUUGGGCGUAAAGGGCUCGCAGGCGGUUUCUUAAGUCUGAUGUGAAAGCCCCCGGCUCAACCGGGGAGGGUCAUUGGAAACUGGGGAACUUGAGUGCAGAAGAGGAGAGUGGAAUUCCACGUGUAGCGGUGAAAUGCGUAGAGAUGUGGAGGAACACCAGUGGCGAAGGCGACUCUCUGGUCUGUAACUGACGCUGAGGAGCGAAAGCGUGGGGAGCGAACAGGAUUAGAUACCCUGGUAGUCCACGCCGUACACGAUGAGUGCUAAGU